ACAUGAUGGACUACAGGGCAGGACUUGUGCUGUUAAUGAUCUGCUGGGCAGGUGUUGAUGGUCAGACUCUGACUGAAUCUGAACCUGCAGUAAAAAGACCUGGACAAUCCCACAGACUGACCUGUACAGCCUCUGGAUUCACAUUCAGCAGCCACUUGAUGGGUUGGAUCAGACAGGCUCCUGGAAAAGGACUGGAGUGGAUCGCUACUAUCGAUGUUACUAGCACUUACUAUUCACAGUCAGUUCAAGGCCGUUUCACCAUCUCCAGAGACAACGGCAGAAACCAGCUGUAUCUGCAGAUGAACAGUCUGAAAACUGAAGAUUCUGCUGUUUAUUAUUGUUGGGACAACGUUCUGUAG